rnacentral:rRNA from 1 species
GUCCACGCCGUAAACGUUGGGCACUAGGUGUGGGUCCUUAUCAACGGGAUCCGUGCCGCAGCUAACGCAGUAAGUGCCCCGCCUGGGGGAGUACGGUCGCAAGACUAAAACUCAAAGGAAUUGACGGGGGACCGCACAAGCGGCGGAGCAUGUUGCUUAAUUCGAUGCAACGCGAAGAACCUUACCUGGGCUUGACAUGUACCGAAAAGCCGCAGAGAUGUGGUGUCCUUCGGGGCGGUACACAGGUGGUGCAUGGCUGUCGU